rnacentral:rRNA from 1 species
GAUCAUGGCUCAGGAUGAACGCUAGCGGCAGGCUUAACACAUGCAAGUCGAGGGGCAGCAUAAUGGAUAGCAAUGUCUAUGGUGGCGACCGGCGCACGGGUGCGUAACGCGUAUGCAACCUACCCUUAACAGGGGGAUAACACUGAGAAAUUGGUACUAAUACCCCAUAAUAUCAUAGAAGGCAUCUUUUAUGGUUGAAAAUUCCGAUGGUUAGAGAUGGGCAUGCGUUG